rnacentral:lncRNA from 1 species
CCUGGGACCCAGCAAUCCAUCAGAUCGCCCCACUGCAGCUGCAGAUGACAGUCCAGAUGUUCACUCACGCUGCAGGAGGGCUGAGCCCAGGAUGUUCAACAGAAUUGGAAUCCACCUGCCUGAUGCUGGCGCUGUUUCCUCUUAUGCAGUCUCUGCAUGCUAGAUGACAAGAUGUAAAGAAAAAUUACUAAUUAAUGCUCUGCUGGCUCCAAAACAGCAAUAGAGAGGAAAUUCUUCUUUCACUUUAGCUCCUGCAUGAGCCUCAAGCUCUGUUCAUUAA